GUGAAUCAUCGAAUUUUUGAACGCAAAUUGCACUCUCUUCGGUGAGUAUGCGUGUUUGAGGGUCAGUAUUAGUAAAAAUAGGAGUGUUGCUUCUUUGUGACGCUCCGGGGUUUGGGUCAUCUUAAUAUCCUUUAGGUUCUUAGGGGCUUAAGAUUGAAUUUUUUUUCGCAUUUUAGAUGUACCUAAAUUCUUUUUUUUAUUCGUCUGUCUUAAUGCUCACACUACUAUUAAAUGCGACCAUAUCGUGUGGUUUCGUGGUUAUGAAUUUUUCAUUA
rnacentral:misc_RNA from 1 species